rnacentral:rRNA from 1 species
GUAGGUGGCUAGCGUUGUUCGGAUUUACUGGGCGUAAAGCGCACGUAGGCGGUUUGUUAAGUCAGAGGUGAAAUCCCGGAGCUCAACUCCGGAACUGCCUUUGAUACUGGCAAGCUAGAGUCCGGAAGAGGUAAGUGGAACUCCUAGUGUAGAGGUGGAAUUCGUAGAUAUUAGGAAGAACACCAGUGGCGAAGGCGGCUUACUGGUCCGGAACUGACGCUGAGGUGCGAAAGCGUGGGGAGCA